rnacentral:rRNA from 1 species
AACGAACGCUGGCGGCAGGCCUAACACAUGCAAGUCGAGCGGACCCUUCGGGGUUAGCGGCGGACGGGUGAGUAACGCGUGGGAACGUGCCCUUUGCUUCGGAAUAGCCCUGGGAAACUGGGAGUAAUACCGGAUACGCCCUUUUGGGGAAAGAUUUAUCGGCGAAGGAUCGGCCCGCGUUGGAUUAGGUAGUUGGUGGGGUAAUGGCCUACCAAGCCGACGAUCCAUAGCUGGUUUGAGAGGAUGAUCAGCCACACUGGGACUGAGACACGGCCCAGACUCCUACGGGAGGCAGCAGUGGGGAAUCUUAGACAAUGGGGGAAAACCUGAUCUAGCCAUGCCGCGUGAGCGAUGAAGGCCUUAGGGUUGUAAAGCUCUUUCACCGGGGAAGAUAAUGACGGUACCCGGAGAAGAAGCCCCGGCUAACUCCGUG